AUUAAGAGACAUACUAUUUUUAAGGAAACACAAGGCUGCACAGAACCGAACUUCAGACUUAUAGACACGUUUAUGUCCUAGGGCACAAUUCAUGCAACUGUCCUAGGGAACAGUUCUUGUACGGCGAUAGAAUACCAUCUACACACUUAUAACACUAUACUUGGAAAACUUGGAUACUAAUGAAACAACAAGUAGAGAGUCUCGUCGGAGAGGUUCUUCCAAAAGAGCUAUGAUACACCUAUAACAUUCAAACAGGAUAACUGGCCUACGAGACUUGUAAUGAUGUCCUUCCCUAACAAAUAAAGCCUGGAAAUUCUAUC